AGCGAACGCUGGCGGCAGGCCUAACACAUGCAAGUCGAACGAAGUCUUCGGACUUAGUGGCGGACGGGUGAGUAACACGUGGGAACGUACCUUUUGGUUCGGAACAACUCAGGGAAACUUGAGCUAAUACCGGAUGAGCCCUUAGGGGGAAAGAUUUAUCGCCGAAAGAGCGGCCCGCGUUAGAUUAGCUAGUUGGUGAGGUAAAGGCUCACCAAGGCUACGAUCUAUAGCUGGUCUGAGAGGAUGAUCAGCCACACUGGGACUGAGACACGGCCCAGACUCCUACGGGAGGCAGCAGUGGGGAAUCUUGCGCAAUGGGCGAAAGCCUGACGCAGCCAUGCCGCGUGAAUGAUGAAGGUCUUAGGAUUGUAAAAUUCUUUUACCAGGGACGAUAAUGACGGUACCUGGAGAAGAAGCCCCGGCUAACUUCGUGCCAGCAGCCGCCGUAAAAC
rnacentral:rRNA from 1 species